ensembl:misc_RNA Metazoa_SRP Metazoan signal recognition particle RNA
GCCGGGCGUGAUGGCUCACGCCUGUAAUCCAAGCACUUGGGAGGCCAAGGCGGGUGGAUCACCUGAGGUCGGGAGUUCAAGACCAGCCGGACCAACAUGGUGAAACUCCGUCUUUA